rnacentral:rRNA from 1 species
AACGAACGCUGGCGGCGUGCCUAACACAUGCAAGUCGAACGAGAAAGGGGCUUCGGCUCCGAGUAAAGUGGCGCACGGGUGAGUAACACGUGGGUAACCUGCCUCUAAGAUUGGGAUAACUCGUCGAAAGAUGAGCUAAUACCGAAUAAGACCACAGUUCCCGCGGGAACAGGGGUCAAAGGUAGCCUCUGCUUGCAAGCUAUCACUUAGAGAUGGGCCUGCGCACCAUUAGCUAGUUGGUAGGGUAACGGCCUACCAAGGCAAAGAUGGUUAGCUGGUCUGAGAGGAUGAUCAGCCGCACUGGAACUGAGACACGGUCCAGACUCCUACGGGAGGCAGCAGUGGGGAAUAUUGCGCAAUGGGCGAAAGCUUGACGCAGCAACGCCGCGUGAGUGAUGAAGGCCUUCGGGUCGUAAAGCUCUGUCGGGAGGAACGAAUGCUCCUGAGGUUAACAGCCUCGGGAGGUGACGGUACCUUCAAAGGAAGCACCGGCUAACUCUGUG